ensembl:lncRNA
AUGCGCGUGGAGUUGGCCCCGCGCUCCUUUUCGGCCAGUGAUGUCCAGGGGUCCGCAAGCCGCGGUCGCCUGGCUGCUGUCGCGGGUCGCGCCGGUGGAGGGACGCGGAGUCUGAGCCGGCGAGGCGCUCCGGGCCUCGUUCCCGAGGCCAGAAGUGUGGGCUCCGAAGGAGUGCCUCCGGAGGUACUCAGAAGAAUCUUCCAGUUCAAGAAGCCGCUUGCUCCAAGGGAAAACCCCGGAAGGGGUGGAAAGGGCAGGGGUUUUGGAGUCAGCAAGACCUGGAUUCGAAAAUCAGCUCUGACCUCUACUAGCCCUGUGAGUUUGGGUGAGUUACCUAACCUCCCUGUGCCUCCGUUUUUGCACCUGGAAACCGGAGAUUUCAGUAAAACAACUUUGAGUAGGGAUAAAAGGAUUAAAUAAAACCUUAAGUGUAGGGACGCCUGGGUGGCUCAGUGGGUUGAGUAUCUAUCUGCCUUCGCCUUAGGUCGUGAUCUCAGGAUCCUGGGGUCCUGGGAUCAAGUCCUGCUUUGGGCUCCCUGCUAGUGGGGAGUCUGCUUCUCCCUCUCUCUCCAUCUCUCUCUCCCCCUGCCCUCCUCCACCCCCAUUCAUGUACUCUCUCUCUCUCUCAAAUAAAUAAAAUCUUAAAACAAAACAAAAAACCCUAAGCGGAAAUGACACUUUUGACCAGGAACUGCGAUGUGCUACCUGCUAGCAGUGGUGGUGGUAGUAAAAGUCUUAAUAAUAAUACCUGUUAACUGCUAUUUUGAUUAUUACCACCACCUCCUCUCACAAUUGGGAACCCAAAAAUUAGUCCCUUACACAUUUACUCAAUAUCCAGCCCCAGGAACUCAUUCGAAUAUUCAUAGAAUCACACCAGCAGAACCACAAACCCUGGGUUUCCCCCACACAUGCUGCAAUUUCGUGCUUUAGAAUAAGAAAUGUGUAUUUGUUUGCCCCUUCCUGGCACUGAACUCCCCAAACCCUUGGAAUUUCCUAAGGGGUGAGAGAGUGAAGGGGAUCUUUUGUUAUGUUGAGGAACUGGAAUGUAGGGGGUGGGGGGGGGAGGGAGGGACAAGGGACUCCUAAGGUGGGGGCUGGUUGCCAGGGGAACCAACCAAGUGAGUAGAGGGUAAGAACUUUCAGUCCCACCCCCACCUCUGUGGAGGGGAGAGGCGCUGGAAAUUGAAUUCAGUCACCAAUGGCCAAUGGUUUGAUGGGUCAUGCCUACGUAAAGAAGCCUCCACCCAAAACGGGAGGAGGCUGAGAGAUUUCCAGGCUGGCGAACACGUGGAGGACCUGGAAGAGUGGAAGCUGGGCGCCCCUUCCCAGAUACUUCAUCUGGCCGUUGAACUUCAUCUGGCCACUCGAACAACUGGUGAUCCAGUAAGUAAAACAGUCCUCCGAGUUCUGUGGACCGCUCUUAGCGUACUAAUCAAACCCAGGGAGCGGUCUGACCGGCGGACUGGGAAUUGGCGUCUGCCAUAGGGGGUGGGCAGUCCUGGCCACUGGGCUCUUGACUGAGGGCAUCUGAGUUGCCCCAGCGAGAUGGUGUCAGAAUCAGGUUGAGUGGUAGGACACCCGC